rnacentral:rRNA from 1 species
UACGGUGGGUGCAAGCGUUAUCCGGAUUCACUGGGUUUAAAGGGUGCGUAGGCGGAUAGGUAAGUCCGUGGUGAAAUCCUGCAGCUUAACUGCAGAACUGCCGUGGAUACUAUCUAUCUUGAAUAUCGUGGAGGUUAGCGGAAUAUGCCAUGUAGCGGUGAAAUGCUUAGAUAUGACAUAGAACACCUAUUGCGAAGGCAGCUAACUACGCGGUAAUUGACGCUGAGGCACGAAAGCGUGGGGAUCAAACAGG